UAAUACGGGAGAUGCAAGCGUUAUCCGGAAUUAUUGGGCGUAAAGAGUUUGUAGGUGGCCAAGUGUGUUUAAUGUUAAAUGUCAGAGCUCAACUCUGGAAUUGCAUUAAAACUGCCUGACUAGAGUAUGGUAGAGGUACGGGGAAUUUCCAGUGUAGCGGUGAAAUGCGUAGAUAUUGGAAAGAACACCAAUGGCGAAGGCACUUUGCUAGGCCAAUACUGACACUGAGAAACGAAAGCUAAGGGAGCAAACAGGAUUAGAUACCCUGGUAGUCUUAGCCGUAAACUAUGGAUACUAGGUGGUGCAAAAACGCUCUGCCGUAGUUAACACGUUAAGUAUCCCGCCUGGGGAGUACGCUUGCAAAAGUGAAACUCAAAGGAAUUGACGGGGGCCCGCACAAGCGGUGGAGCAUGUGGUUUAAUUCGAUGCAACACGAAGAACCUUACCAGGAUUUGACAUGCUAGGAAGUAACUCAAAAGUUAUGUGCUCUAUUUUGAGAACCUAGACACAGGUGGUGC
rnacentral:rRNA from 1 species